rnacentral:rRNA from 1 species
UACGGAGGGUGCGAGCGUUGUUCGGAAUCACUGGGCGUAAAGGGCGUGUAGGCGGUCCGCUAAGUCUGAUGUGAAAAGCCCCGGGGCUCACCCCCCGGAAGUGCAUUGGAAACUGGCGGACUCGAGUCCCGGAGAGGAGAGUGGAAUUCCUGGUGUAGCGGUGAAAUGCGUAGAUAUCAGGAGGAACACCGGUGGCGAAGGCGGCUCUCUGGACGGUGACUGACGCUGAGACGCGAAAGCGUGGGGAGCAAACAGG